rnacentral:rRNA from 1 species
GACGAACGCUGGCGGCGUGCUUAACACAUGCAAGUCGAACGGAAAGGCCCCUUUGGGGGUACUCGAGUGGCGAACGGGUGAGUAACACGUGAGUAACCUGCCCUUGACUUCGGGAUAACUUCAGGAAACUGGGGCUAAUACCGGAUAGGAAUCCUUGCUGCAUGGUGGGGGUUGGAAAGCUUCGGCGGUUUUGGGUGGACUCGCGGCUGAUCGCCUUGUUGGUGGGGUAGUGGCUUGCCGACGCUUUGACGGGGAGCCCGCGUGAGCGGGCGCCCGGCCAGAUUGGGACUGAGAUACAGGCCAGACUCCGACGGGAGGCAGCAGUGGGGAAUAUUGCAGAAUGGGCGGAAGCCUGAUGCAGCAACGCCGCGUGCGGGAUGACGGCCUUCGGGUUGUAAACCGCUUUCAGCAGGGGCGAAGCUUGUGGUGACGGUACCUGCAGAAGAAGCACCGGCUAACUACGU